ACACGUAGGUGGGUCUGCCUUGAGUUGGGGAUAGCCCAUGGACACAUGGGGUAAAUACGAAUACGCUCGCGAACCUGUGGGGAUGUGACGGAAAGCGCUUCGGCGCUGCUCGAGGAUGAAGCUGCGGCUGAUUAGUNAGUUGGUGGGGUAACGGGCNUCACAAGCGACGAUCAGUAGCCGGCCUGAGAGGGUGAGCUGGCACACUGGGACUGAGAUACGGCCCAGACUCCUACGGGAGGCAGCAGCUAAGAAUCUUCUACAAUGGACGAAAGUCUGAUAGAGCGACGCCGCGUGGGUGAUGAAGGCCGGAAGGUUGUAAUGCCCUUUUCUAUUCGAGGAAUAAGGUGUGGAGGCAAUGCCACACUGAUGACGGUAGGGUAGGAAUAAGCCCCGGCCAAUUACGUGCCAGCAGCCGCGGUAACACGUAUGGGGCGAGCGUUGUUCGGAAUCAUUGGGCGUAAAGGGCGCGUAGGCGGAUAUGCAAGCUUGGUGUGAAAGACCGCAGCUCAACUGCGGGAGCGCGCUGAGAACUGCAUAUCUUGAGUUCCAGAGGGGAAGCUGGAAUUCCAGGUGUCCGGGUGAAAUCUGUAGAUAUCUGGAAGAACAUCAGUGGCGAAGGCGAGCUUCUGGCUUCGAACUGACG
rnacentral:rRNA from 1 species